UACGGGAGGCAGCAGUGGGGAAUAUGCACAAUGGGCGCAAGCCUGAUGCAGCCAUGCCGCGUGUAUGAAGAAGGCCUUCGGGUUGUAAAGUACUUUCAGUCGUGAGGAAGGUGUUAAGGUUAAUAACCUUAGCAAUUGACGUUAGCGACAGAAGAAGCACCGGCUAACUCCGUGCCAGCAGCCGCGGUAAUACGGAGGGUGCGAGCGUUAAUCGGAAUUACUGGGCGUAAAGGGCACGCAGGCGGUUAAUUAAGUUGGAUGUGAAAUCCCCGGGCUUAACCUGGGAAUGGCAUUCAAGACUGGUUAGCUAGAGUCUUGUAGAGGGGGUAGAAUUCCAUGUGUAGCGGUGAAAUGCGUAGAGAUGUGGAGGAAUACCGGUGGCGAAGGCGGCCCCUGGACAAAGACUGACGCUCAUGUGGCGAAAGCGUGGGGAGCAAAACAGGGAUUAGAUACC
rnacentral:rRNA from 1 species